GAUGAACGCUGGCGGCGUGCCUAAUACAUGCAAGUCGAGCGAACGGACGAGAAGCUUGCUUCUCUGAUGUUAGCGGCGGACGGGUGAGUAACACGUGGAUAACCUACCUAUAAGACUGGGAUAACUUCGUGAAACCGGAGCUAAUACCGGAUGAUAUUUUGAACCGCAUGGUUCAAAAGUGAAAGACGGUCUUGCUGUCACUUAUAGAUGGAUCCGCGCUGCAUUAGCUAGUUGGUAAGGUAACGGCUUACCAAGGCAACGAUGCAUAGCCGACCUGAGAGGGUGAUCGGCCACACUGGAACUGAGACACGGUCCAGACUCCUACGGGAGGCAGCAGUAGGGAAUAUUCCGCAAUGGGCGAAAGCCUGACGGAGCAACGCCGCGUGAGUGAUGAAGGUCUUCGGAUCGUAAAACUCUGUUAUUAGGGAAGAACAUAUGUGUAAGUAACUGUGCACAUCUUGACGGUACCUAAUCAGAAAGCCACGGCUAACUACGUG
rnacentral:rRNA from 1 species